rnacentral:rRNA from 5 species
AACGACUCUCGGCAACGGAUAUCUCGGCUCUCGCAUCGAUGAAGAACGUAGCGAAAUGCGAUACUUGGUGUGAAUUGCAGAAUCCCGUGAACCAUCGAGUCUUUGAACGCAAGUUGCGCCCUAAGCCACUAGGCCGAGGGCACGUCUGCCUGGGUGUCACGC